rnacentral:rRNA from 1 species
CCUACGGGGGGCAGCAGUGAGGAAUAUUUGUCAAUGGACGAGAGUCUGAACCAGCCAAGUAGCGUGAAGGAUGACUGCCCUAUGGGUUGUAAACUUCUUUUAUAUGGGAAUAAAAUGUUCCACGUGUGGGAUUUUGUAUGUACCAUAUGAAUAAGGAUCGGCUAACUCCGUGCCAGCAGCCGCGGUAAUACGGAGGAUCCGAGCGUUAUCCGGAUUUAUUGGGUUUAAAGGGAGCGUAGGUGGAUUGUUAAGUCAGUUGUGAAAGUUUGCGGCUCAACCGUAAAAUUGCAGUUGAAACUGGCAGUCGUGAGUACAGUAGAGGUGGGCGGAAUUCGUGGUGUAGCGGUGAAAUGCUUAGAUAUCACGAAGAACUCCGAUUGCGAAGGCAGCUCACUGGACUGGAACUGACACUGAGGCUCGAAAGUGAGGGUAUCAAACAGGAUUAGAUACCCUAGUAGUC